rnacentral:rRNA from 1 species
AGAGUUUGAUUAUGGCUCACGCCCUUAUAAUGGCGGCGUGCUUAACACAUGCAAGCUCGAACGGCCUUAUAUUGAAACCUAGUGAUGUAUGAGUUAGUGGCGGACGGGUGAGUAACGCGUGGAGAACCUGCCGUAUACUCCCGGAUAACACUUAGAAAUAGGUGCUAAUACCGCAUAAGCGCACAACUUCGCAUGAAGCAGUGUGAAAAACUCUGGUGGUAUACGAUGGAUCCGCGUCUGAUUAGCUAGUUGGCGGGGUAAAGGCCCACCAUGGCGACGAUCAGUAGCCGGCCUGAGAGGGUGAACGGCCACAUUGGGACUGAGACACGGCCCAAACUCCUACGGGAGGCACCAGUGGGGAAUAUUGCACAAUGGGGGAAACCCUGAUGCAGCGACGCCGCGUGAGUGAAGAAGUAUUUCGGUACUUAAAGCUCUAUCAGCAGGGAAGAAAAUGACGGUACCUGACUAAGAAGCCCCGGCUAAUUACGUGCCAGCAGCCGCGGUAAUACGUACGGGGCAAGCCGUAUCCGGAUUUACUGGGUGUACCGGGAGCGUAUACGGUAGCGCAAGUCUGGAGUGAAAUCCUAUGGCUUAACCAUGGAACUGCUUUGGAAAUUGUGCUGCUAUAGUGCUCGAUAGGUAAUCCGGAAUUCCUACGUGACCGGUGAUAUGCGUACAUAUUAUGAGGAUCUCCCCUGGUGAACGCGGCUUACUGGACUGUAACUGACGCUUAGGCUCGAAAGCGUGGGGAGCAAACCCGAUUAAAUUACCCGGUUAUUCUCUGCUGUACCCA